rnacentral:lncRNA from 1 species
AGCCGGCCCUAUAAGGAAGCUGAUGAAGCUACUGCUUCCGGCGGCCACAGAUUAUAAAAAAUAUCGGCCUUAUUUGGACAGAAAGUUCUUAUUAGCACUAGUGGUUUGGGUGUUGGUUACAAGGGUAAAGCCUCGAGUGUUCGAUUCCCUCCAAGAAAAUAGGCCACAUUUUUAAUUUUUGCUUCUAGCCACAUAUUUUCUAGGACCGGCUGUUGCAGAACACCUCUGUGGGUGACAUCUCUGACGGCGACUGGUGGUGACUCUUGUGCUGGUAUUGGACUCCUUGGCCUCAAGUUACUCCGGUCGUGGGAUUUAGAGUUCAAUCGGAGGCGGAAACGUAGCUUCCCUGUCUUCUUCCCAUCACCUUUAAACCUCUUUGCUCUAAUCUACUAGUCAGAAUAAGUUGAUGUUGUUAGAUCUUAAGAUGCUUUCGUAUUGUAACCUAGCCAGGUUGUUUCUCUUAAUUUUUACCGGCGU